rnacentral:rRNA from 1 species
GACGAACGCUGGCGGCGUGCCUAAUACAUGCAAGUAGAACGCUGAAGGAGGAGCUUGCUUCUCUGGAUGAGUUGCGAACGGGUGAGUAACGCGUAGGUAACCUACCUGGUAGCGGGGGAUAACUAUUGGAAACGAUAGCUAAUACCGCAUAAGAGUAGAUGUCGCAUGACAUUUGCUUAAAAGUUGCAAUUGCAUCACUACCAGAUGGACCUGCGUUGUAUUAGCUAGUUGGUGAGGUAACGGCUCACCAAGGCAACGAUACAUAGCCGACCUGAGAGGGGGAUCGGCCACACGGGGAGUGGGACACGGCCCGGGCUCCCACGGGAGGGAGAAGUAGGGAAUCUUCGGCAAGGGAGGGAAGUCUGACCGAGCAAGCGCGCGGGGGUGAAAAAGUUUUUGGGUUCGGAAAGCUGUGUUUUAAGGGAAAAACGGGUGUGGGAGGGGAAAGUUCCCCCGGGGCGGGUAUUUUAAAAGAAGGGGCCGGCAAACUAGGG